UACGUAGGGUGCGAGCGUUAAUCGGAAUUACUGGGCGUAAAGCGUGCGCAGGCGGUUCGCUGUGUCCGAUGUGAAAGCCCCGGGCUUAACCUGGGAAUGGCAUUGGAAACUGGCGGGCUUGAGUGCGGCAGAGGGGGGUGGAAUUCCCGGUGUAGCGGUGAAAUGCGUAGAGAUCGGGAGGAACACCAGUGGCGAAGGCGGCUACCUGGACCAGCACUGACACUGAGGCACGAAAGCGUGGGGAGCAAACAGG
rnacentral:rRNA from 1 species